rnacentral:rRNA from 1 species
CCUACGGGGGGCAGCAGUGGGGGAUAUUGCACAAUGGAGGAAACUCUGAUGCAGCGACGCCGCGUGAGGGAAGACGGUCUUCGGAUUGUAAACCUCUGUCUUUGGGGAAGAAAAUGACGGUACCCAAAGAGGAAGCUCCGGCUAACUACGUGCCAGCAGCCGCGGUACUACGUAGGGAGCGAGCGUUGUCCGGAAUUACUGGGUGUAAAGGGAGCGUAGGCGGGCGAGAAAGUUGAAUGUUAAAUCUACCGGCUUAACUGGUAGCUGCGUUAAAAACUUGUUGUCUUGAGUGAAGUAGAGGCAGGGGGAAGUCGUGGUGGAGCGGUGAAAUGCGUAGAUAUUGGGAGGAACACCGGGGGCGAAGGCGGCCUGCUGGGCUUUAACUGACGCGGAGGCUCGAAAGCGUGGGGAGAAAACAGGAUUAGAUACCCCAGUAGUC